AACGAACGCUGGCGGCAGGCUUAACACAUGCAAGUCGAGCGCCUCGCAAGAGGAGCGGCAGACGGGUGAGUAACGCGUGGGAAUCUACCGUGCCCUACGGAAUAGCUCCGGGAAACUGGAAUUAAUACCGUAUACGCCCUUCGGGGGAAAGAUUUAUCGGGGUAUGAUGGGCCGGCGUUGGAUUAGCUAGUUGGUGGGGUAAAGGCCUACCAAGGCGACGAUCCAUAGCUGGUCUGAGAGGAUGAUCAGCCACAUUGGGACUGAGACACGGCCCAAACUCCUACGGGAGGCAGCAGUGGGGAAUAUUGGACAAUGGGCGCAAGCCUGAUCCAGCCGUGCCGCGUGAGUGAUGAAGGCCCUAGGGUUGUAAAGCUCUUUCACCGGUGAAGAUAAUGACGGUAACCGGAGAAGAAGCCCCGGCUAACUUCGUGCCAGCCGCCGCAGUAA
rnacentral:rRNA from 1 species